GCGCUCGCUUCGGCAGCACAUAUACUAAAAAUUGGAAUGAUACAGACAUUAGCAUGGCCCCUGCGCAAGGAUGACAUGCAAAUUCAUGAAGUGUUCCAUAUUUUU
ensembl:snRNA U6 U6 spliceosomal RNA